rnacentral:rRNA from 1 species
AUUGAACGCUGGCGGCAGGCCUAACACAUGCAAGUCGAACGGUAACAGGAAGAAGCUUGCUUCUUUGCUGACGAGUGGCGGACGGGUGAGUAAUGUCUGGGAAACUGCCUGAUGGAGGGGGAUAACUACUGGAAACGGUAGCUAAUACCGCAUAAAGUCGCAAGACCAAAGAGGGGGGCCUUCGGGCCUCUUGCCAUCGGAUGGGCCCAGAUGGGAUUAGCUAGUAGGUGGGGUAACGGCUCACCUAGGCGACGAUCCCUAGCUGGUCUGAGAGGAUGACCAGCCACACUGGAACUGAGACACGGUCCAGACUCCUACGGGAGGCAGCAGUGGGGAAUAUUGCACAAUGGGCGCAAGCCUGAUGCAGCCAUGCCGCGUGUAUGAAGAAGGCCUUCGGGUUGUAAAGUACUUUCAGCGGGGAGGAAGGGAGUAAAGUUAAUACCUUUGCUCAUUGACGUUACCCGCAGAAGAAGCACCGGCUAACUCCGUG